ACAAACGACGGUGUUAUAUGAAAAUUACAAACGCUUUUUCAAUCCUGAAAUUGAAAUUUUUAAGAUUGCGUACGUAAAGAUUAUUAAUCGGAAAUGUACUGUUUGAAGCGUUUGUCUUUUUUCUAAAAAAAAAACAAAAUGUUUAUUUAUUCGAGCAAAAGAUGGAAGAAAAGAAAAAGAUUAUAAAAGUCGAUAGCGACUUUUUGCAAAACGAAAACAAAUAAUACAAUUGGGAACUUCUAUUGUGGAACCGCGCUAACUAAGAAAGCUUGCGGCAGAUGUUUCCACAAAGAUCAGUAUUGCAAUUUCAGUUUACUCAUGAGACGGUUUUAUGAGAUGAAAUAUAAGAGCACACUUUUGCUCGUUUUUAAAAAAUUGUUUUAUAUAUCAAAGUUAAUCUAAAAAUUGAAUUAUUUUCUGGAUUUAAUCUUUGUAGAUGACUGUUUAUUAACUGGUUGAAUAUCGAAGUUUUUUAAAAGAGAAGUUAUAUUAAAAAAAAAAUCUUAUAUACGAUGAACAGGUUGUCAAUCGCUCCUAAAUCGCCAAAACUGAAACUACCUCGGAUUGAAAUUGUAGAGUGUAAAGUCAAAACAAAAAAUGAAAAAAAACUCGACUUAGAAAUGUUCCAGCAAGCAAAAGAUGCUAAAAUGAUUCUCGAAAAACUAUUAAAAGAAGACAAUAAAUCCAAUCAUGAAGAAUCGAGCUCAAAUUCUAACGAUAAUGGAAGACGGAGAGCCAAUUCCUUAGAUAUAGAAGACAACGUUGUACACAUUUCUAACAAGAUUGGAAUUGCAGAAUUAG